AAACAAAGAUUUUUUUUUUUUUUUUUUAAUGAUCACUGAUUCCCCAAAAAUCAUGGUGCAGAAGAAGGUAAUGGCAAUCCUAUAACCAAGAGGUCGAUAGAGUCUUUUCUACAGUAGCUUGCUAAGGAGUAUAUCAACAAGAUCCACUUUAUUUAUUCCCCGGAUUUUAGUUCUGAUCAAUACUAGUCAGUGACCAUGAAAGCAUAUUUUCAAGUAAAUUAACCAAACAUAAAGGUUUUUGGGUAUCAAAUAGUCCAGAUUCAGUGUUUUGGUUAUGGUUCAUGUUAAGGAGCUACUCAACCUAAAAAUGCAAACUUGUAGGCAAGAGCUACAAGAAUAGUUUUAUAUCUCUACCAUACUCCACACACGAAUAUCCUCUAGGCUUAAAAUGUGAAGAAGUAUGGGCUUAUUUUAGCUUGUGAUGAAAUGUUAUUUGGUAAAUGGAGGCGGUCAAGAUUUGAACUUUGAAACUUUUGGUCUAAGAAGCUCUCAUUCCAUAUCAAUGAACUACUCAACCUAAAAACUUAAACUUGUAGGCCAUAGAAAUAAUUUUAUAUCUCUAACAAUUCUUUUGUUGGAAACAUGUUUAAAGUAGAAAACUAAGUCAGAACUUAGAAGGAAAUAAAUGAGUAAUAUUACAAAGUAACAGAUCACGUACCCAUAACAAAGCUAAGAAGAUAGGGGACUGCAUUAUGUAAUCCAUUAGGCAAAGCCUCCAAGACAGGAAGGAGGGGCUGUAAUUGUGACCUGCCAAAUGAUGUAGCUGGAUUGGCUAGUAUCAGGACAAGGUCAAUUUUAGGAUUACGUGCAGCAACAGCGAGUGCUAGACAUCCUCCAAAGGAAUCUCCCACUAGAUAAAUUGGUCUAUUUGGUGAUGCAGCAUGCUGAAUCCUCACUGUUUCUUCAACAAAUUUCACUAGU
rnacentral:misc_RNA from 1 species